rnacentral:rRNA from 1 species
ACUCCUACGGGAGGCAGCAGUAGGGAAUCUUCGGCAAUGGGGGCAACCCUGACCGAGCAACGCCGCGUGAGUGAAGAAGGUUUUCGGAUCGUAAAGCUCUGUUGUAAGAGAAGAACGUGUGUGAGAGUGGAAAGUUCACACAGUGACGGUAACUUACCAGAAAGGGACGGCUAACUACGUGCCAGCAGCCGCGGUAAUA